CAGGUAUGCCAUAAGGUGCCAUUAUUCACUCUGGUUAUUGGCCUUACAAUUUAAUGCAGGUGCUUCUCUGUCGUAAUGGUUCUCUGUCGUACUGAUACCAAUAGAUGGGAGUGUCCCCUGUUGCUGCUUGUAUUGAAAGGAUCUCUUUCGCUGACUGUUCCUACUGCCCCUUAGUGACUGACACCCUAACAGGUGCUUCUCUGUCGUACUGAUACCAAUAGAUGGGAGUGUCCCCUGUUGCUGCUUGUAUUGAAAGGAUCUCUUUCGCUGACUGUUCCUACUGCCCCUUAGUGACUGACACCCUAACAGGUGCUUCUCUGUCGUACUGAUACCAAUAGAUGGGAGUGUCCCCUGUUGCUGCUUGUAUUGAAAGGAUCUCUUUCGCUGACUGUUCCUACUGCCCCUUAGUGACUGACACCCUAACAGGUGCUUCUCUGUCGUAAUGGUUCUCUGUCGUACUGAUACCAAUAGAUGGGAGUGUCCCCUGUUGCUGCUUGUAUUGAAAGGAUCUCUAUCGCUGACUGUUCCUACUGCCCCUUAGUGACUGACACC